rnacentral:pre_miRNA from 1 species
CAACUACUCCCUCCGUCUGAAAUUACUUGUCACAUAAAUGGAUGAAAACGGAUGUAUCUAAAACUAAAAUACAUUUAGAUACAUUCAUUUCUCGGACAAGUAUUUCCGGACGGAGGAAGUAUCUU